rnacentral:rRNA from 1 species
GACGAACGCUGGCGGCGUGCUUAACACAUGCAAGUCGAACGGAAAGGCCCUGCUUUUGUGGGGUGCUCGAGUGGCGAACGGGUGAGUAACACGUGAGUAACCUGCCCUUGACUUUGGGAUAACUUCAGGAAACUGGGGCUAAUACCGGAUAGGAGCUCCUGCUGCAUGGUGGGGGUUGGAAAGUUUCGGCGGUUGGGGAUGGACUCGCGGCUUAUCAGCUUGUUGGUGGGGUAGUGGCCUACCAAGGCUUUGACGGGUAGCCGGCCUGAGAGGGUGACCGGCCACAUUGGGACUGAGAUACGGCCCAGACUCCUACGGGAGGCAGCAGUGGGGAAUAUUGCACAAUGGGCGGAAGCCUGAUGCAGCAACGCCGCGUGCGGGAUGACGGCCUUCGGGUUGUAAACCGCUUUCGCCUGUGACGAAGCGUGAGUGACGGUAAUGGGUAAAGAAGCACCGGCUAACUACGUGCCAGCAGCCGCGGUGAUACGUAGGGUGCGAGCGUUGUCCGGAUUUAUUGGGCGUAAAGGGCUCGUAGGUGGUUGAUCGCGUCGGAAGUGUAAUCUUGGGGCUUAACCCUGAGCGUGCUUUCGAUACGGGUUGACUUGAGGAAGGUAGGGGAGAAUGGAAUUCCUGGUGGAGCGGUGGAAUGCGCAGAUAUCAGGAGGAACACCAGUGGCGAAGGCGGUUCUCUGGGCCUUUCCUGACGCUGAGGAGCGAAAGCGUGGGGAGCGAACAGGCUUAGAUACCCUGGUAGUCCACGCUGUAAACGGUGGGUACUAGGUGUGGGGUCCACUCCACGGGUUCCGUGCCGUAGCUAACGCUUUAAGUACCCCGCCUGGGGAGUACGGCCGCAAGGCUAAAACUCAAAGGAAUUGACGGGGCCCCGCACAAGCGGCGGAGCAUGCGGAUUAAUUCGAUGCAACGCGUAGAACCUUACCUGGGUUUGACAUGGAUCGGGAGCGCUCAGAGAUGGGUGUGCCUCUUUUGGGGUCGGUUCACAGGUGGUGCAUGGCUGUCGUCAGCUCGUGUCGUGAGAUGUUGGGUUAAGUCCCGCAACGAGCGCAACCCUUGUUCACUGUUGCCAGCACGUUAUGGUGGGGACUCAGUGGAGACCGCCGGGGUCAACUCGGAGGAAGGUGGGGAUGACGUCAAGUCAUCAUGCCCCUUAUGUCCAGGGCUUCACGCAUGCUACAAUGGCUGGUACAGAGAGUGGCGAGCCUGUGAGGGUGAGCGAAUCUCGGAAAGCCGGUCUCAGUUCGGAUUGGGGUCUGCAACUCGACCUCAUGAAGUCGGAGUCGCUAGUAAUCGCAGAUCAGCAACGCUGCGGUGAAUACGUUCCCGGGGCU